AGAAAACACUGUUUACCGUUCUCGUAGUCACUGCUUGCGUAGGCAUCACCACCGCACAGGUCUCCUGUUCUACAGAAUGUUUGAACCUGGCAACUCAGAUUCGCAAUGCCGACAGUAUUUUCACUGCAGCUUCCCUUUAUAGCGAGUUUUUCAUCGAUGGUUGCAAUAUCCAGUGCCUAAACCAAAG